CUAUUCUCAAAAGGCUUCAAAAUGGAUUUACGAAGAUUCCUUUAUGGAAUAUGAGUUAAAGGUCAUUCCGGCUUUAUUAGAAUCUUCAAGUUUUUAUAAAGGGAAACCUAUCUACACCCACAGCCCACCAUGAUCGAUGGAUGCACCCACCCUUUCUACUUUUGGUUAUGCAUUGGUCAAGCAAUGCCUGAAUCAGGAAAGGGUGCGAGUUUCCCACUACUUGCAGCCUAGCAGCUAGGAGAAAUUACUACAGGUGUGUUUUAGUUUAUUUGAUUCCCUACUAUCAGAAAAGGGUCUCUUUAUUCUUCAUGGGUCGGUAUUGCCCUUGGUUGUACAUGUAUGGCGUUGGGUAGUGAACCACAACAUGCGAUUCAAAAGAGAUGUUUAAAAUUCCACUUUAAAGUGUACUUGUUUUUUUUCGAAUUUUCGAAUCCCUUCUCUCAAAUUUCAAAUCCCUUAUCUCAAA